GUAACGAUGACACCAGCGAUUAGUCGGUGUUAAUAUACGACCCGACUAGCAGCUUCCGGGAAACCAAAGUUUUUCGUUUCCGGGGGAAGUAUGGUUGCAAAGCUGAAACUUAAAGGAAUUGACGGAAGGGCACCACCAGGAGUGGAGCCUGCGGCUUAAUUUGACUCAACACGGAAAAACUUACCCGGCCCGGACACUGGCAGGAUUGACAGAUUGAGAGCUCUUUCUUGAUUCAGUGGGUGGUGGUGCAUGGCCGUUCUUAGUUGGUGGAGCGAUUUGUCUGGUUAACUCCGAUAACGAACGAGACUCUAGCCUACUAAAUAGGCCACCGGCUUACUGACGUCGGUGGGACUUCUUAGAGGGACAGGCGGCGAUUCAGCCGCACGAAACAGAGCAAUAACAGGUCUGUGAUGCCCUUAGAUGUCCGGGGCUGCACGCGCGCUACACUGGAGGAAUCAGCGUGCUAUACCAUUGCCGAAAGGCAUUGGUAAACCGAUCAAAAUUCUCCGUGAUCGGGAUCGGGAAUUGAAAUUAUUUCCCUUGAACGAGGAAUUCCCAGUAAGUGUGGGUCAUCAGCUCACGCUGAUUACGUCCCUGCCCUUUGUACACACCGCCCGUCGCUGCCCGGGACUGAGCCGUUUCGAGAAAAGCGGGGACUGCUGUUGUCGGGUCUUUCGGGACUUGGCAUCGGUGGAAACCGCCUUAAUCGCAGUGGCUUGAACCGGGCAAAAGUCGUAACAAGGUUUCC
rnacentral:rRNA from 1 species